rnacentral:misc_RNA from 1 species
AAUUACACUAUGAUUGUAAAAACAAGCACGUAACAAGCAACUACUUCAAGGAAUAAAUUUCUUUUGCUCAAAAAUGGUCUGAGCUUUGACAAACCUUACAAAUAACCCAAUGUAGAACAAUUGGCUGACCAGAAUAGCUACAUAAUAACUUAUCUAUGUUGUUUGAAAUCCUAUGAUAAAAUCAAGAGUAAUUACACUCAUAACUAAUUCUGAUCAACAUAAACUUAUUUUUUGGUGAAACCUCA